rnacentral:rRNA from 1 species
AACGAUGACUUUUGUGCUUGCACAAAAUGAUUAGUGGCGAACGGGUGAGUAACACGUGAGUAACCUGCCCUUGACUCUGGGAUAAGCCUGGGAAACUGGGUCUAAUACUGGAUAUGCACCGUGAACCGCAUGGUUUUUGGUGGAAAGAUUUAUUGGUCAAGGAUGGACUCGCGGCCUAUCAGCUUGUUGGUGAGGUAAUGGCUCACCAAGGCGACGACGGGUAGCCGGCCUGAGAGGGUGACCGGCCACACUGGGACUGAGACACGGCCCAGACUCCUACGGGAGGCAGCAGUGGGGAAUAUUGCACAAUGGGCGAAAGCCUGAUGCAGCGACGCCGCGUGAGGGAUGACGGCCUUCGGGUUGUAAACCUCUUUCAGUAGGGAAGAAGCGAAAGUGACGGUACCUGCAGAAGAAGCGCCGGCUAACUACGUGCCAGCAGCCGCGGUAAUACGUAGGGCGCAAGCGUUAUCCGGAAUUAUUGGGCGUAAAGAGCUCGUAGGCGGUUUGUCGCGUCUAUCGUGAAAGUCCGAGGCUCAACUUCGGAUCUGCGGUGGGUACGGGCAGACUAGAGUGAUGUAGGGGAGACUGGAAUUCCUGGUGUAGCGGUGAAAUGCGCAGAUAUCAGGAGGAACACCGAUGGCGAAGGCAGGUCUCUGGGCAUUAACUGACGCUGAGGAGCGAAAGCAUGGGGAGCGAACAG